AGUGAACGCUGGCGGUAGGCCUAACACAUGCAAGUCGAACGGCAGCACAGUAAGAGCUUGCUCUUACGGGUGGCGAGUGGCGGACGGGUGAGGAAUACAUCGGAAUCUACUUUUUCGUGAGGGAUAACGUAGGGAAACUUACGCUAAUACCGCAUACGACCUACGGGUGAAAGCAGGGGAUCUUCGGACCUUGCGCGAUUGAAUGAGCCGAUGUCGGAUUAGCUAGUUGGCGGGGUAAAGGCCCACCAAGGCGACGAUCCGUAGCUGGUCUGAGAGGAUGAUCAGCCACACUGGAACUGAGACACGAUCCAGACUCCUACGGGAGGCAGCAGUGGGGAAUAUUGGACAAUGGGCGCAAGCCUGAUCCAGCCAUACCGCGUGGGUGAAGAAGGCCUUCGGGUUGUAAAGCCCUUUUGUUGGGAAAGAAAAGCAGCAGGUUAAUACCCCGCUGUUCUGACGGUACCCAAAGAAUAAGCACCGGCUAACUUCGUG
rnacentral:rRNA from 1 species